rnacentral:rRNA from 1 species
CCCAGACUCCUACGGGAGGCAGCAGUGGGGGAUAUUGCACAAUGGGGGGAACCCUGAUGCGGCGACGCCGCGUGGGUGAAGAAGUAUUUCGGUAUGUAAAGCCCUAUCGGCAGGGAAGAAAUUGGACGGUACCUGACUAAGAAGCCCCGGCUAACUACGUGCCAGCAGCCGCGGUAAUACGUAGGGGGCAAGCGUUAUCCGGAUUCACUGGGUGUAAAGGGAGCGUAGACGGCCAUGCAAGCCUGGAGUGAAAGCCCGGGGCCCAACCCCGGGACUGCUCUGGGAACUGUGCGGCUGGAGUGCGGGAGGGGCAGGCGGAAUUCCUGGUGUAGCGGUGAAAUGCGUAGAUAUCAGGAGGAACACCGGCGGCGAAGGCGGCCUGCUGGACCGCGACUGACGUUGAGGCUCGAAAGCGUGGGGAGCAAACAGGAUUAGAUACCCGAGUAAU